UAUUUGCUUGAAAGAAUUACAGUGCUUCUAUCCAGAUGGCAUGGUCUUCAAAUGGCUAUCCAAAACCAAUGGGGUGGCCAUGAUUCCUUUCAGAAAUCCCAACAGCUUGCUGCUGAUGUCUUCUCUUGUUCCUUCAUUCCAAAGCACACCAAAUAGAAGAUUUAGAAAAUUUGCUUCACGAAAGAAUGCUGCUAUCUCUGAAUACAGAGAUCGAGGAUGGGAGCAUUGAAGCGGUAGCAGAACAGUUGAUGAUUCUGCACGAAGAAUAUAUGCAUGGAGAUCGUUAGACAACUGAAAGGUUUAAUUUGCG